rnacentral:rRNA from 1 species
ACCUGCGGAGGGAUCAUUACUGAGUUCGUACCCUAACGGGUAGAUCUCCACCCUUAUGUUAUCUUACAAUUGUUGCUUUGGCGAGCCGCCAGACUUCGGUCAGGCUAUCGGUUUCGGCUGAUACGUGUUCGCCAGAGAACCCCAAACCCUGAAUAUUAGUGUCGUCUGAGUAUUUUUAAUAGUUAAAACUUUCAACAACGGAUCUCUUGGCUCUGGCAUCGAUGAAGAACGCAGCGAAAUGCGAUAAGUAAUGUGAAUUGCAGAAUUCAGUGAAUCAUCGAAUCUUUGAACGCACAUUGCGCCCCUUGGUAUUCCGGGGGGCAUGCCUGUUCGAGCGUCAUUACAACCCUCAAGCGUAAGCUUGGUAUUGGGCUUCGCCGUUUAUCCGGCGGGUCUUAAAAUGAGUGGCGGUGUUAUAAGGCCCUGAGCGUAGUAAAUAUUCCUCGCUAUAGGUGUCUCGUAAUUUCCAGUCAGAAUCCCCCAUUUCUAUAGUUUGACCUCGGAUCAGGUAGGGAUACCCGCUGAACUUAAGCAUAUCAA